rnacentral:rRNA from 1 species
GGAGGUAGUGACAAUAAAUCACAAUGCGGGACUCCUAGUCUUGCAAUUGGAUUGAGAACAACGUACAACUCUUAUCGAUAAGCCAUUGGAGGGCAAGUCUGGUGCCAGCAGCCGCGGUAAUUCCAGCUCCAAUAGCGUAUAUUAACGUUGUUGCAGUUAAAAAGCUCGUAGUUGAAGUGAGGGAGUGUGUGGGUAUGAGAGCUAGUCUCAAGUACUUACAACCUCCCCCCUCCAAUCGGUGUAGUGGGGUAUUCAGUUAUUCUACUACUCCUUUGGUCGUUUACUGUGAGAAAAUUAGAGUGUUCAAAGCGGGCGUUUGUUUGAAUAGAUUAGCAUGGAAUAAUGAUUGAAGGCUUUCGUGUUCGAUUUGAUUGGUUUGUUCAUGGAAGCAAGGUUAAAAGGAACAGUUGGGGGUAUUCAUAUUCACUAGUUAGAGGUGAAAUUCUCGGAUUUAUGGAAGAUGAACAAGUGCGAAAGCA